rnacentral:rRNA from 1 species
AAACCUGGCAGUUCCCUACUCUCACAUGGGGAGACCCCACACUACCAUCGGCGCUACGGCGUUUCACUUCUGAGUUCGGCAUGGGGUCAGGUGGGACCACCGCGCUAUCGCCGCCAGGUAA